rnacentral:rRNA from 1 species
CCUACGGGCGGCAGCAGUCGAGAAUCAUUCACAAUGGGGGACACCCUGAUGGUGCGACGCCGCGUGGGGGAAUGAAGGUCUUCGGAUUGUAAACCCCUGUCAUGUGGGAGCAAAUUAAAAAGAUAGUACCACAAGAGGAAGAGACGGCUAACUCUGUGCCAGCAGCCGCGGUAAUACAGAGGUCUCAAGCGUUGUUCGGAAUCACUGGGCGUAAGGCGUGCGUAGGCUGUUUCGUAAGUCGUGUGUGAAAGGCGCGGGCUCAACCCGCGGACGGCACAUGAUACUGCGAGACUAGAGUAAUGGAGGGGGAACCGGAAUUCUCGGUGUAGCAGUGAAAUGCGUAGAUAUCGAGAGGAACACUCGUGGCGAAGGCGGGUUCCUGGACAUUAACUGACGCUGAGGCACGAAGGCCAGGGGAGCGAAAGGGAUUAGAUACCCUUGUAGUC